rnacentral:rRNA from 1 species
AAACUUUCAACAACGGAUCUCUUGGCUCUGGCAUCGAUGAAGAACGCAGCGAAAUGCGAUAAGUAAUGUGAAUUGCAGAACUCAGCGAAUCAUCGAAUCUUUGAACGCACAUUGCGCCCGCCAGUAUUCUGGCGGGCAUGCCUGUCCGAGCGUCAUUU